GUCCGGGGUCAGUUCGGCGUUCGACGCGCGGGGCCGCCGGCUCGGCUGGCUGCCCGCCACCGAGCGCGGGGCGCUCGUGCUGGACGUGCCCCUGGACA
rnacentral:tRNA from 1 species